rnacentral:lncRNA from 1 species
GAAGACAGGAGGACCAUUUGCUCCUGUAUGGACAAACAGUAUCACAGACGUUCUUAUCUCUCUUUUCUCUCCUAAGAAUCUGUUUGUCUUUCUAAAGAAAACUGUUCUUCCCAGAGACUCUUAUUCUCCCACUACUAAUUUAGGUCUGUAAAUCUCUAACUUUAGCUGUGGACCAGGCUGGCUACUCCUUUUGUUAGCUCAUAUGCAUAUGAAAAACCUUUUCUCUCCUCUUAAUGUGUUUUUUGUCAGUUAAUUUCCAGGUACUGAAUCUUGGAGAGUAGAAGAGGUUUUUUACCCUCCCACACAGGGGAUCUGCACAGAUCUGCCUCAGAACUUCAUGAUGGAACAAAUAGGAGCACCCAGCCUUUAUAGAACUCACACAGGCUGUGAUUUAAAACCAGUCCAGUUCCUCCAUUGCCACAACCUGGCCCUGAGGAAUGUUCCACGGCUCCUGACUGAGAAGCCAUAUUGUGAUGAAGUGUGGGGGAUGGCCCUGCACAACACCCUACAAAAGCCUCUCUAUUCUGCCUCAGGCUGAUUUCAUGAUGCUGGGGGUUUGGAGGAGGGACAAUGGCACCCCAAGAGCAACUGUUCAGAGAAGGUGAUUCCAUGGGACUCAAACUCAUUAGUUCAAGAGUGUAGCUCUUUCAUAAUCCAGUAUUACCUAGUGAUAAAACUCAACAUGCAGGCAAAUGAAAAAAACAAACAACCCAUUUAAUAGAUGGGUGCAUGAAAUGAACAGACCCUUUUCAAAAGAAGUACUGUAUUACCAGAUUCCUGGGACUCCAACAGACCUUCAGGAGCCGAAUCCAACGCAAUCACACAAGAGUCUUUAUUGUAAGCUUGAGCCUGGACUCACAACAGUUUCUGAAGCAGCUCACUUCCCAGGAAGUGAGCCCUGGUCCUAUGUUCAAUGAGAUUUUAUAGGUUUUGGGGGAUACUCUAUGAGUCACAACAUCACACAGCAAAUCAUUCCACACCACAGGAAAUUUAAACAACAACUCUUAGCAUUGAUUAGCACAUUCACUGGUGGGAACAAGUUGGGUAGGGGUGAUUGGUUAGUACACGAGGGGAAUUUGUUUGAACGGAUUGGUUUAAUCCAUGAGGGGUGUAUGUGCUAAACUACAUGGUUUCCUAACAUAUUAUCAACCACCAUAAACUACUGGGGGGUCAUCUGGUAUCCCAGGUAUUUCCCUGUCUCAUGCUGAUUGAUGGUUGCUAGGAAGUUGUUAUGGGUCCUCACCUAGCCUAACUGAGUCAGGGACACCUGGCACCACAGAUCUCUCCUGUUAUUUGCAGACAAACAACUCAGCAGGGUGGCUAUCUGCCUCCUCAGGCUCUGUGGGUUU